rnacentral:tRNA from 1 species
CGCCACGAUCUCGCAAUGGGCCGCGGUGGCGGCCCUCGACGGGCCGCAGGAGCACCUGGCGCAGUUCCGGGCCGCGUUCCAGACCCGGCGCGACCUC